rnacentral:rRNA from 1 species
UCCGGUUGAUCCUGCCAGAGGCUACUGCCAUCAGAGUUCGAUUAAGCCAUGUUAGUCGAGGGUGCUUCUUCUUCGGAAGAGGUAACCGGCAGACGGCUCAGUAACACGUGGACAACUUACCCUUGGGACCGGGAUAACCCCUGGGAAACUGGGGCUAAUACCGGAUAGAGCAUCGGUUGCUGGAAUGCACGAUGGUCUAAAGCUGAGGCGCCCAAGGAUAGGUCUGCGGCCGAUUAGGUUGUUGUUGAUGUGACGGAUCAACAAGCCUACGAUCGGUACGGGUUGUGAGAGCAAUAGCCCGGAGAUGGGUUCUGAGAGAAGAACCCAGGUCCUACGGGACGCAUCAGGCGCGAAAACUUUACAAUGUGCGAAAGCACGAUGAGGGAACUCUGAGUGCCUCCUAAGGAGGCUGUUCGGGUGUCUAAAAAGCAUCCGAAGGAAGGGCUGGGUAAGACCGGUGCCAGCCGCCGCGGUAACACCGGCAGCCCAAGUGGUAGCCACGCUUAUUGGGUCUAAAGCGUCCGUAGCCGGCCAAGUAAGUUCUUUGGGAAAUUUGACCGCUUAACGGUCAAGCUAUCAGGGAAUACUGCUUGGCUUGGGACCGGGAGAGGUCAGAGGUACUCCAAGGGUAGGGGUGAAAUCCGUUAAUCCUUGGGGGACCACCGGUAGCGAAGGCGUCUGACCAGACCGGGUCCGACGGUGAGGGACGAAGGCUAGGGUCGCGAACCGGAUUAGAUACCCGGGUAGUCCUAGCUGUAAACGAUGCAGGCUAGGUGCUGGCGCGGCUACGUGCCGCUCCAGUGCCGCAGGGAAGCCGUUAAGCCUGCCGCCUGGGAAGUACGGCCGCAAGGCUGAAACUUAAAGGAAUUGGCGGGGGAGCAC